rnacentral:lncRNA from 1 species
UGGCUACCAUUAACACAAGAGAAAUCAAAGAAAAGUAGACUUUCUGAAAAUCUAAAUUGUUCUUGAGAUUGAUGCAAAUUAACCAAGGUAAAAAAUGCAAAGUCUACAUUUAACAUAAGACACAACAACUUUUUUCAUAAAAAAUGGCUACCAUUAACAUAAGAGAAAUUAAAGAAAAGUAGACUUUCUGGAAAUUUAAAUUGUUCUUGAGAUUGAAGCAAACCAAGGUAAAAGAUGAAAAGUCUACAUUUAACAUAAGACACGACUGCUGUUUUCAUGAGAAAUGUCUACCAUUUAGAUGGGCAAAAUCACAAAAAUGUAGACAUUCUGGAAAUCAAAAUUGUUCUUGAGAUUGAAUCAAUGAAUAUUCACAAAAUGAAAAUUGACCGUCUGAUGUGAUCAUUAUAGUGAAACAUGGCUAUGGUAUAAAAUUCAACUGGAUUCAACAAUGUUCGGUGCUCGAUCAAAGCGGUCAACCCUAAUUCAUCUUCACUUAUCACACGAAAACUAUCUUACCUACCUCUUCGUGACCUAGUUUGGUGGAUUCUUCAACACAAUAAAGUGUCACAUAGAUGAGACAUAACCACCCAUGUAAAACUUUGGGGACGUUUACCACCCGAGGAUAGGGCUCUCCUUAUUGAAGCAUAAACUUAAAUAGGGUUGACCGUUUCGAUCGGGGCCCAAACAUUGACGAAUUAAAGUGAUUUUCCUACCGUAGCCGUAUUUUACUAUAUCGAUCACAUCCUAUUUCAUGAGAUUUUUGAAAAUUUUGCUUCCUCUAUAUAGUUGGCUCACAAAGUUGUACACUAGCAUAUAACCUACCAAACAAGUUAUACCACAUUAGUAAGCACGUUAUAAUUCCGAUGACUAAAAUUCACAAAAUAAAAAUUGACCUUAUGAUGUGAUCAUUACAGUGGAACAAUGCUAUGGUAUAAAAUUCAACUGGAUUCAACCCUAAACCCUAAACCCUAAACCCUGGGGCUUAAUCAAAGCGGUCAACCCUAAUUCAUUUUCACUUCUCACACGAAAACUAUCUUACCUACCUCUUCGUGACCUAUUUUGGUGGAUUCUUCAACACAAUAAAGUGUCACAUAGAUGAGACAUAACCACCCAUGUAAAACUUUGGGGCUGUUUACCACCCGAGGAUAGGGCUCUCCUUAGUGAAGCAUAAGCGUAAAUAAGGUUGAUCGCUUCGAUUGGAGCCCAAACAUUGGCGAAUUAAAGUGAUUUUUCCACCGUAGCUGUAUUUUACUAUAUUGAUCACAUCAUAUUUCACGAGAUUUUUGAAAAUUUUGCUUCCUCUAUAUAGUUGGUUUACAAAGUUGUACACUAGCAUAUAUAUAACCUAUCAAACAAGUUAUAUUACUUUAGUAGGCAUGUUAUGAUUUCGAUGACUAAAAUUCACAAAAUGAAAAUUGACCGUAUGAUGUGAUCAUUAUAGUGAAACAUGACUAUGGUAUAAAAUUCAACUGGAUUUAACAAUGUUCGGGGCUCGAUCAAAGCGGUCAACCCUAAUUCAUAUUCAUUUAUCACACGAAAACUAUCUUACCUACCUCUUUGUGACCUAGUUUGGUGGAUUCUUCAACACAAUAAAGUCUCACAUAGAUGAGAUUUAACCACCCAUGUAAAACUUUGGGGACAUUUACCACCCGAGGAUAGGGCUCUCCUUAGUGAAGCAUAAACGUAAAUAGGGUUGACCGCUUCGAUCGGGGCCCAAACAUUGCCAAAUUAAAGUGAUUUUUCUACAGUAGCCAUAUUUUACUAUACCGAUCACAUCCUAUUUCACAAGAUUUUUGAAAAUUUUGCUUCCUCUAUAUAGUUGGUUCACAAAAUUGUACACUAGCAUAUAACCUACCAAACAAGUUAUACCACAUUAGUAGGUACGUUGUGAUUCCAAUGACUAAAAUUUAGACGCAGUUGUGAAGUGGGUCCCGCCAGUGGUUUGUGACAUUUUUCGGUGAAUUUUUCCGACACUAGAGCUAUUUUCUAUGCAUUUUUAAAGUUUUGAAAUGGUGGAAAAAAAGUAAAACUUUAAUGACAUGGACAGAUUAGUGACUUAGGACGAAUGAGGUCGCAACAUGUGGCAAUUAGUGUUGAAUUUUCAGAAAAGGAAUCUCCCGAAAUGGAAACUUACCAUACUUUUUAUAGUAGAUUUCCAUAAAUAGUAACUUUUGUUUUUAAAGCAUAACUAUCCCCCCAAAAUGGAAACUUACCCUUCCUUUUAUAGUUGAUUUCCAUAAAUAGUAACUUUUGUUUUUAGAGCAUAACUAUCCCCCCAAAAUGGAAACUUACCAUUCCUUUUAUAGUUGAUUUCUAUAAAUAGUAAUUUUCGUUUUUAGAGCAUAACUAUCCCCCCCAAAAUGGAAAC